rnacentral:rRNA from 1 species
UACGUAGGGGGCUAGCGUUGUCCGGAUUUAUUGGGCGUAAAGAGCGUGUAGGCGGCCAGGUAGGUCUGGUGUGAAAACUCGAGGCUUAACCUCGAGAUGUCAUCGGAAACCAUCUGGCUAGAGUCCGGAAGAGGAGAGUGGAAUUCCUGGUGUAGCGGUGAAAUGCGCAGAUAUCAGGAAGAACACCAAUGGCGAAAGCAGCUCUCUGGGACGGUACUGACGCUGAGACACGAAAGCGUGGGGAGCGAACAGG